rnacentral:rRNA from 1 species
UGAGGAAUAUUGCGCAAUGGACGAAAGUCUGACGCAGCCAUACCGCGUGCAGGAUGAAGACUCUAUGGGUUGUAAACUGCUUUUGUAUGAGAAGAAACCUUUCUACGUGUAGAAAGCUGACGGUAUCAUACGAAUAAGCACCGGCUAACUCCGUGCCAGCAGCCGCGGUAAUACGGAGGGUGCAAGCGUUAUCCGGAUUUAUUGGGUUUAAAGGGUCCGUAGGUGGAAUAUUAAGUCAGUGGUGAAAUCCUACAGCUUAACUGUAGAACUGCCAUUGAUACUGGUAUUCUUGAGUAUGGUUGAGGUGGACGGAAUGUGUCAUGUAGCGGUGAAAUGCAUAGAUAUGAUACAGAACACCAAUUGCGAAGGCAGUUCACUAAACCAUUACUGACACUGAGGGACGAAAGCGUGGGGAGCGAACAGG